rnacentral:rRNA from 1 species
AGUGAACGCUGGCGGUAGGCCUAACACAUGCAAGUCGAACGGCAGCACAGUAAGAGCUCGCUCUUACGGGUGGCGAGUGGCGGACGGGUGAGGAAUACAUCGGAAUCUACUUUUUCGUGGGGGAUAACGUAGGGAAACUUACGCUAAUACCGCAUACGACCUACGGGUGAAAGCAGGGGAUCUUCGCACCUUGCGCGACUGAAUGAGCCGGUGUCGGAUUAGCUAGUUGGCGGGGUAAAGGCCCACCAAGGCGACGAUACGUAGCUGGUCUGAGAGGAUGAUCAGCCACACUGGAACUGAGACACGGUCCAGACUCCUACGGGAGGCAGCAGUGGGGAAUAUUGGACAAUGGGCGCAAGCCUGAUCCAGCCAUACCGCGUGGGUGAAGAAGGCCUUCGGAUUGUAAAGCCCUUUUAUUGGGGAAGAAAAGCAGCAGGUGAAUACCCCGCUGUUCUGACGGUACCCAAAGAAUAAGCACCGGCUAACUUCGUG